GGGGUUGUGGCUCAGUGGCAGAGCCCUAUCCUCCUGUGUGUGAGGCACUGGGUUCAAUCCUCAGCACCACA
rnacentral:tRNA from 1 species